rnacentral:rRNA from 1 species
UACGAAGGGGGCUGAGCGUUGCUCGGAAUUACUGGGCGUAAAGGCGCACGUAGGCGGCUUUCUAAGUCGGGGUGGAAAUCCUGGAGCUCAACUCCAGAACUGCCUUCGAUACUGGAAGCUCGAGUCCGGGAGAGGUGAGUGGAACUGCGAGUGUAGAGGUGAAAUUCGUAGAUAUUCGCAAGAACACCAGUGGCGAAGGCGGCUCACUGGCCCGGUACUGACGCUGAGGUGCGAAAGCGUGGGGAGCAAAGCAGG